ensembl:lncRNA
GUUACGAACGCCUCCUGAGAGACUUCGUUCUGCGGGAAAUACUUCGAAACCUCAGGAACCAACAGAGCAGACAAGUUGUUUGGCAGCUAAUUGAGGAGCACUGAGCUCCUGCCAGAGUUGCUUUGAGGAGCUCGUUCUGGUUUUUAAUUAAUACCAGUGGAGCUGCAAAGGCCUAGAAGUGUGAAACCAUGGAAGCGAGGCGCUCGCCCAACCGUGACUCUACAGAGGUCUGCACACACCAGAUAGUUGUAUUUGGUUUACGACACGGCGCUGUAUUCGUGUCGACGGUGGACUUUUUGCAAAGCAUUUUUGACACUUUCCUCUGUCAAACAUUUGGUUGUUAUCAUCUGAUGAAUUGCAUGAGCGACCACUCUUAUUUCAGUAAUUACUGCCGAGCCCAAACCGUUUAGCGGUAGAACUCGUCCUUUUGGUCACUGGCGGCGGUUCCCUAACUGAAAAUUGUGCUGUUGCCAGCGCGUUGCAGCAGCCUGCUGUUAUUGAGAUUAAUGUCGCUGCGAUUGUUGUUACCCCGCGUGGACGCGGCGGACCGGAGUGCAAAAGUGUAAUUUACUGCUAAGUGUGCGGGGUCCUCUUGCUAACACCCGAUCGUUGACCCGGACCAUUCGUCUUUCGCCAUCCGGGCCAAGGUCUCUGCAUUCCUACCCCUCCGAAAUAAUCCAGUGGCAGAAGGAAGGGUCGGUCUGAUCCUUCGUGUCCAGCUGCGAUACAGUCUUGGCUGACUUCGGGCCGGAUGCGUGAGUCGGUGUAAUGACCGAUCAGUCCUCUUUCUCUAUCCUCUACUACCAUUUUGCACUUGUAAUUGGAAUAUUUUUUUUUCCGGUGACUGAUUAGAAACAAGAUCACUUAAUUGCUGCCAUGUUUGAAGGCUGCUGCUCUGUACAACAGAGGGAUGUAUGAGAAGUUACUCUUUGACUUUCCAUUCUCAUACCCGAGCCGAGCAGAGAUCGUGGAUAGAUCGCUUUGCUCAGCCGGGGGGGGUCGUGGUGUGUGUGUGUGUGUGUGUGUGUCCUUAAUAGAUGGUUAGUGAUAUACAUAAUAUUUCGGAUUUGACAGCAGAUCUGUUCUUAAGUUGCCGUGACAGCCUCUCCAAUUCAUGGCAGAGAGCUAUCAAGUGGGACGGAUUAUUCCCUGGCAUCCACACUGAGUGGGGCCCGACAUGCUGCCAGCGUACAAAGGCCCCCGGCUCGGCACGGCUGUGUGACGUCAACAACAAGGAACGUCUUCGUAGCCCCUGCUCAACUUUUCAGAGAUGCGCAGGUGUAAAAAAAAAAAUCCAACAAAGAAAACAGCUGUGCAGAACCGGGCGAGGAGCUCGCUCUCGCUCCGAUGUAAAAACACAGCUGGUAAUUGUGCGCGGCGCCGGCAUGAAUCACACCAAUUAAUGCAACUCAUCUUCCUUCCUGGCCCAUUGGUUGUAUCUUCUCUUGGAAUCACAAAUACAUCGCGUCUCCAUCAGCGUACCAACAUCCGCAGCAAAAGGCCACGUGUGAUCACUAUUUAGAAGCCUCCCUGAGAGCCCUCUGCUCUUCCUCACCACUCAUUGAGAUAAACAUCCAAUUCAUACUGUUGUGCUUUUCCCCGCUCACUGCCUGUACAAAAAGUUUUCAUGUGGCUCAUGCUUCUAUUUAAUCCGGUUCAGUUUAGAAAGGUAGUUGCCUGCAGAGGAAGACCAAGUUUGCAGACAAGACUCACAGCACGCAUUAGCAGAAAAAAAGGCCGGCACAAAUAAUAUAAAGCAUGAACCAAAUGUGAGUCACCAACAUUUAAACAAAAAUACUUGUUCAUCACAUAUUGAUGUGAAACGCCACAUACACAGGAAACCACAUCUCUGCAUGUUAAAAUGAAGCCGUCUGCAAGAUUCUUUUUAGACCCUCGUUAACUCCUAAAUUGGCACCGAGGGGCUGUCGAGGCAGCAGAGAAUUGCAUUAGCUUCCCUCGCCACAGCCGUGCUUCCCCAAAACUCACUCACCCCAGUAAAUAUAAAUGUCUCCAGAUCUGCUUAUUAGUGACUCCAAGAGAAAAAGCAGCCUUGACUGAAGACAACACUGGGAGGCAGUGUUUGAUGGGAACGGCUCUGCAGCACUUCAGUGGUCGUAAAAUGUUGCUGAAGUUCAUGUUCAGAGCCAAGAAGCUGUUCAACUGGCCCAGCAGCAAGUUAGCCAGCUGUCCAGUCACACUCCAGCAUUCAUCGGGAUGUCAUUAUCCACUGGUGUGGGGCUGUAGUGGCUGAGACGGCAGUUUGAGGCAAAUGUUCUUUUGAGGGAGAUGUUCCACAUUUUAAAUUCUCUCCACAAUGAUGUCUUAUUCCUCCCUGAGAUGAUAGAAUAGAAUUGUUGUCUAGUUUUGCAUCUUUUUUUCAUGGUUGUAAAAAAAACGUUCUGCCCCAGUUGCUAGAUUGAAGCAAUGUAUAAUCUAAAAGGAAACACAGCAGGGGGUCAGUGGGAAAGAGACUAACUGCAAACAAUGGUCUCCCAUCCCCACCAGAUGAUUGUAGAGGAUAGUUAAAAACAUAUCUAGCGGCUGCCAAUAGUACGGUCUUACGCUCUGGCUAAUAACUGCUGGCCGAUUCUUUCAUUUGACAUAGUAAUGUUGUUAUUUACCAAUGAGGCAUGAUGCUUUGUGUCAUUACAACUAUUGAGGCGCCUGAGAUCUAAUAGUCGGAUAGUAUUCAUGGUCACCCUGGUAUGAAGGUUUACUUUUAGACUGAAAUAAAUAGCAGAGCGAGCACAUUUUGUAAAACAAUUUGUCUCUCAGGGUUGUCGGCAGUUUAAGAACGUUAACCAUCACUGCUUCUGAUGUGAAUGCUGUCUUUCCCCUGCGUGGUAAAUCAUUACUUACAUGAAGAGUAAGAUUAAGUUACAUUUGUGGUUGCUGCAUUCAGGCAUUAUGUACAGUAAUACCAAAAUAAUGACACUGCUUUCCUUCCUAAGGGCAUCAAAAACCUAUGAAGGAACAAGCCGAUGACGCCGUCAGCCUAUAAACAUACAGGAUUCUGUUGCAUUGUCACACUGUAGUCAAGCUGUAGAUGCUCAGUAUUCCUAAAGCUAACAAUUUGUGGUAUUGUUCAUGCAACAUUUGCAUGACUGGGACUUGCACUGCUGUCCAUUGUCGGCAUUUGUCACCUCACUGUUUUUUGUUUUGUUUUUGCUUCAGUUUCUUUGACGUGGUCUUAUCUUGGACAGAGGUCAUAAUGAGUAGAAAAAAAGAAAUGGCAACGAUCAUGUGAUCAGUUCCAGGGACUGUGGUGUCCCAGAUAUCCCAGUUGUUUCUAUUUUAAAUGGCCAGUAGAUCAUCUGCCUGCAUUUUUAAGUCAUGCAACAAAGAAAAGAUCAGUUACUUUUAAAUCGGGUAUUUAAGUCUUUGCAGGUUUAAGGUGUCAAAAAGAGGCACGCAGGGAGAAAAAUGACUGGAAUAAAGCAAAUACGUGCAUUUGCAAAAUGUUUUGCAAUGCUAAAUGUGGAUGUCCUAUAACUGGUUGCUUUUGAAAUGAUAAAUCUAAUAAGGCCUCAACCAUAAAUAAUUCUCUGCUGCAUCAGAGCAUCAUUUUCCAUGUACUCAAUUAAGGAGAUGAAAACAAUAAUAAAACAAUUUGUAUGGAAGGCGACUUCAUUGCGUCAACUGCGCAGAUAAAACACUGUGCUACUUUAAGAACAAAUAAAUGUAGAAUAGUUUCUGGGGAUCUAGCAAACACGGUUUAACAGCAAGUCUAAAAGUAAACUCCCCAUUUUGCACCUACUUUUUCAGUUGCAAGCACCUUCAUUUCCAUUGCACAACAGGUUUGCAACCUUUUAAAGGUUCUUCAGCAUGACAGCUAACCAUCGUACCGACGGGUCCUUUCAGAAAGCGCCCUUUCAAC